UUAUAUGAAUGAAGUACCGAGA
rnacentral:miRNA from 2 species